UACGAAGGGUGCAAACGUUGCUCGGAAUUAUUGGGCGUAAAGCGCACGUAGGCGGCUUAGCAAGUCGGAAGUGAAAGCCUCGGCUCAACCAAGGAAGUGCUUUCGAAACUGCUGAGCUUGAGUAGUUAAGAGGAUCGCGGAAUUCCCGGUGUAGAGGUGAAAUUCGUAGAUAUCGGGAGGAACACCAGUGGCGAAGGGCGGCGAUCUGGGAACAUACUGACGCUGAGGUGGCGAAAAGCGUGGGGAGCAAACAGGG
rnacentral:rRNA from 1 species